GAUGAACGCUGACAGAAUGCUUAACACAUGCAAGUCGAUGGGGAAGUGGUGCUUGCACCAUGGCAACCAUGGCGGACGGGUGAGUAACGCGUAAGGGACUUACCUGCAGGACUGGGAUAACAGGGGGAAACUCCUGACAAGACCGGAUAAUGUCAUGGAGCUGCAUGGCUUUAUGAUGAAAGGAGACGCCUGCGGAGAGCCUUGCGUCCUAUUAGCUAGUUGGUGAGGUAAUGGCUCACCAAGGCGAAGAUAGGUAGCCGGCCUGAGAGGGUGGACGGCCACAAGGGGACUGAGAUACGGCCCUUACUCCUACGGGAGGCAGCAGUGGGGAAUAUUGGACGAUGGGGGCAACCCUGAUCCAGCAAUUCUGUGUGCACGAAGAAGGUUUUCGGAUUGUAAAGUGCUUUCAGCAGGGAAGAAGUAAGUGACGAUACCUGCAGAAGAAGCGACGGCUAAAUACGUG
rnacentral:rRNA from 1 species